GAGGCCUUGACCCAGGCUGUUUGGUUGGACUCACUGACCUGACCCCUCCAUCUCCCCAACUCACUGUGCCCCAAGGUAUCUUGGAAAAAUCCCCAAAGAAGAUAUGGCAGUUUUGUUUGUGUGGCCUGUGAGCUGGGAUGGGAGCUGAGUCCAGAGUCCAUAAGAGCCCCCACCCACUCUCCUGGGCAGCAACGAAAGACCACCAGGAAUGUCCAACAGGGAAUAGAUUUAUGGCCAAGCUAGGAGGAGCAUCCCUGUGAAGACACCUACGGAGUCGUUUCGACAGGAGAAUUUACAAGCGCCCUCCUUCGCUUGCUACUGAGUGGAAAAAUACACUGAGCCCAGAGCAGUGAACUCCUUGCCAAGGCCUGUGACUCAUCUCCAAGUCAUAAAUAACGGGUCCCUCAUGACAAAGCAGAGAAGGGAGCCGGGCCCAGGGCCACGUAUUUAUUAGAAAAGAGAGUGGAACCAUUAGUCGGGGGCUUGGUUUCCAGGAAACUCAAACCACACCACAGUAGAGAAGGUCAGGAGGCCCUUCCACAGGAAUUCAGACCUGACAUUUUUUUCAUAUUCUCAAACUUUCAUGUGGGGAGGAGACCCCUGCUACAUCCACCAGAGGCAUCCCCUGGCCACCCAGUUCCAUGGGCCAGGAGGAGUCUUGCUGUUUCCCAGGCCCUGGGGGCCACUCCACCAUCCCCUGCCCCUGAUACUUUUGAUGGCGACCAGGGGAGGCAGAACCGCCUGUCUCGGUGGCCCCACUGACAUCAGGAAACGUUUAGUGCCUGAGAAGUGUGACCUCUGACGAGUUACGACUCCUCCUGAGGCCUCCAUUUCACAAACCUUCCAGGACCGCUGUCAGAAUGAGGUGGGGGAGUAGACUCAGGACCGUGCAAGCCCAUGGGAUGAGCUCACAGCCAUGAGCGGCAUGGUCUAAGGGAAGAAGGAAAGAGAAGAGAAGAGAAAAGUUGGCUCUGCUGGUCUCUCCCUCUGGGUUGUUCCCCUUGUCUCUGUGCUCUUCUCUGUCUCUGAUUAUAAAGGACUCAGAAUCUAAAGGAUAAUAGAUGCAGAUGGAUGGAACAAUAAAUCGUGUGGACUGUUGAUAAAACCUUUGUGCUUGAAGAAAAUACAACUGUGUGUGGUUCUGAGAAGGCUGAACUCA
rnacentral:lncRNA from 1 species